AUUCUGCCCAAGCGGGGAAGGAUGAGAAGCUUCGACCAAGGUUCGACUUGAGCGCCAGCGAGAGAGCGUUGCCGCAGGCAACGACGAAGGGCGAAGCGCGCAGCGCUGGUAAUCCUUCCCCACCACCA
rnacentral:sRNA from 1 species